GUUAGCGGCGGACGGGUGAGUAACACGUGGGUAACCUGCCUGUAAGACUGGGAUAACUCCGGGAAACCGGGGCUAAUACCGGAUGGUUGUUUGAACCGCAUGGUUCAAACAUAAAAGGUGGCUUCGGCUACCACUUACAGAUGGACCCGCGGCGCAUUAGCUAGUUGGUGAGGUAACGGCUCACCAAGGCAACGAUGCGUAGCCGACCUGAGAGGGUGAUCGGCCACACUGGGACUGAGACACGGCCCAGACUCCUACGGGAGGCAGCAGUAGGGAAUCUUCCGCAAUGGACGAAAGUCUGACGGAGCAACGCCGCGUGAGUGAUGAAGGUUUUCGGAUCGUAAAGCUCUGUUGUUAGGGAAGAACAAGUACCGUUCGAAUAGGGCGGUACCUUGACGGUACCUAACCAGAAAGCCACGGCUAACUACGUGCCAGCAGCCGCGGUAAUACGUAGGUGGCAAGCGUUGUCCGGAAUUAUUGGGCGUAAAGGGCUCGCAGGCGGUUUCUUAAGUCUGAUGUGAAAGCCCCCGGCUCAACCGGGGAGGGUCAUUGGAAACUGGGGAACUUGAGUGCAGAAGAGGAGAGUGGAAUUCCACGUGUAGCGGUGAAAUGCGUAGAGAUGUGGAGGAACACCAGUGGCGAAGGCGACUCUCUGGUCUGUAACUGACGCUGAGGAGCGAAAGCGUGGGGAGCGAACAGGAUUAGAUACCCUGGUAGUCCACGCCGUAAACGAUGAGUGCUAAGUGUUAGGGGGUUUCCGCCCCUUAGUGCUGCAGCUAACGCAUUAAGCACUCCGCCUGGGGAGUACGGUCGCAAGACUGAAACUCAAAGGAAUUGACG
rnacentral:rRNA from 1 species